rnacentral:misc_RNA from 1 species
GAUGAAGAACGCAGUAAAUGCGAUAAGUAGUGUGAAUUGCAGAAUUCAGUGAAUCAUCGAAUCUUUGAACGCACAUUGCGCCCUUUGGUAUUCCUUAGGGCAUGCCUGUUCGAGCGUCAUUUAAACCUUCAAGCUCAGCUUGGUGUUGGGUGACUGUCCGCUUCACCGCGGACUCGCCUCAAAAUUAUUGGCGGCCGGUACAUUGGCUUCGAGCGCAGCAGAAACGCGAACUCGGGCCCGUCGUAUUGGCUCCCAGAAGCUAUCUUCACAAUUUUGACCUCGGAUCAGGUAGGGAUACCCGCUGAACUUAAGCAUAUCAAUAAGCGGAGGA